GGGCUGCAGUAUAUUGACUGUACAAAGGUAGCAUAAUCAUUAGUCAUUUAAUUGAUGACUUGUAUGAAGGAUUGGAUGAAAUAUAAACUGUUUCUUAAUUAAAUUAUAGAAUUUAAUUUUUUAAUUAAAAAGUUAAAAUUAAUUAAAAAGACGAGAAGACCCUAUAGAGUUUUAUAAAUAAAUUAAUUAAGAUUAUUUAUAAAAAUAAAAUUGAAAUUAAUUUAUUUAUUUUGUUGGGGUGAUAAAAAAAUAAAUAUAACUUUUUUUUUUAUUUUAACAUUUAUAAGUGAUUAUUUGAUCCAAUAUUAUUGAUUAUAAGAAAAAAUUACCUUAGGGAUAACAGCGUAAUUUUUUUUUUUAGUUCACAUAAAAAAAAGAGUUUGCGACCUCGAUGUUGGAUUAAGAUAAAAUUUAAA
rnacentral:rRNA from 1 species